AUUGAACGCUGGCGGAAUGCUUUACACAUGCAAGUCGAACGGCAGCACGGACUUCGGUCUGGUGGCGAGUGGCGAACGGGUGAGUAAUGUAUCGGAACGUGCCCAGUCGUGGGGGAUAACGUAGUGAAAAUUACGCUAAUACCGCAUACGAUCUAUGGAUGAAAGCGGGGGAUCGCAAGACCUAGCGCGAUUGGAGCGGCCGAUAUCAGAUUAGGUAGGUGGGGGGGUAAAGGCCCACCAAGCCAACGAACUGUAGCUGGUCUGAGAGGACGACCAGCCAGACUGGAACGGAGGCACGGUCCAGACUCCUACGGGAGGCAGCAGUGGGGAAUUUUGGACAAUGGGCGAAAGCCUGAUCCAGCCAUUCCGCGUGCAGGAUGAAGGCCCUCGGGUUGUAAACUGCUUUUGUACAGAACGAAAAGGUUUCUACUAAUACUAGGAGCUCAUGACGGUACUGUAAGAAUAAGCACCGGCUAACUACGUGCCAGCCGCCGCAGUAA
rnacentral:rRNA from 1 species